rnacentral:rRNA from 1 species
GACGAACGCUGGCGGCGUGCUUAACACAUGCAAGUCGAACGGAAAGGCCCUGCUUUUGUGGGGUGCUUGAGUGGCGAACGGGUGAGUAACACGUGAGUAACCUGCCCUUGACUUUGGGAUAACUUUUGGAAACUGGGGCUAAUACCGCAUAGGAGCUUCUGCUGCAUGGUGGGGGUUGGAAAGUUUCGGCGGUGGGGGCUGGACUCGCGGCUUCUCCGCUUGUUGGUGUGGUAGGGGCUUACCAAGGCUUCGACGGGUAGCCGGCCUGGGAGGGUUACCGGGCACAUUGGGACUGAGGUAGGGCCCAGACUGCUACGGGAGGCAACAGUGGAGAGUAUGGCACAGUGGGCGGGAGCCUGAUGCAGCGACGCCGCGUGCGUGAUGACGGCCUUCGGGGUGUAAACCGCUUUGGCCUGUAACGUAGCGUGAGUGACGGUAACGGGUAAAAAAGCACCGGCUAACUACGUG